UGCCGAGUAGACAAGUGGUAAGUCAAUUGGCUCUGAACCAAUCAUGCAAAGGUUCGAAUCCUUUCUCGGCAGCCA
rnacentral:tRNA from 1 species